CCUCUCAAGUUUAUGCAGUUUGUUGAAAGAACUAGAAUUCAAAAUCCACUAGUGCUAGCAUCAUCGCUGAAUGAUUCUUUAAGGAAUUUCCCUAGAGCUGCUUUAGCAAUUUGUCCAACUGAGAAUUAUUACAAAUAUCAUCUUUAAAAAAUUAAACAAAUAAAAAAUUAAAAAGAUGUUUAAAAAAUUAAAAAGAUUCAGAUGACAUACCCAAGUCUAAGUAUUCAUUAUGUUUGCCUUUGCCUUUGUCUUCGGGCUCUGUCUCGGCAGUGUCUUCACCAAGGCACAGAGUUGGAAAAAGGUGAUCUUGGAGCAAAAAUCCCCCGUCUUUAAAGGGAGGUGGAUGGGCAAAUAAUCAGUGAUAAGAUGUGCAUCGGGAUGGCACCACUAUUUUUAGUGUAACAUCAUGGAAGUGCUCCCUUACUCCAGCUUUCAGCAACAACUUCUGUCUAUGAUGGAGAAUCCAACUGCCCUGAGCAUGGAAAUCAAGAGCAAGUGGCAGAUGGCAGAGUAGAUGACUUAUUGCCAAAUGUGGAAAGGCCUCAACUAGUAAGACAAGGUCAAGUUCAAGAGGCAGUUGAUGAAUUGCAUACCUCAGAAGGUUGUCAAAAUGGAGCUUCAUGUCUUGAUUGUCAAGCAGAGGAGGGCCAAAAGUUAUCCAGUGUUUUGCAUGAUUUUGAUGGUGAUGACAUAAAUGAACAGAAUUACAAGGAUGUCAAAAUGGAGCUUCAUGUCUUGAUUGUCAAGCGGAGGAGGGCCAAAAGUUAUCCAGUGUUUUGCAUGAUUUUGAUGGUGAUGACAUAAAUGAACAGAAUUACUGCACAGAACCUUGCCUAACCUCUGGCAAUGGUCAUCUGAUUGUAGAUAGCAGGGAAAGUGAGUUGCCAAACAACAUUUGGGAAGGAGAGUCGUAUCUUUGAGAGCCUACGUAGCUAGGAAGUGAUGAAUCUGUGGCACUGUGGAUCAAGUUGGCUAGCCUCAUUAUCUUUACCCAUAAGUUUACAGUUCUAGGAUGCCUCCAACUGGCUGCUUGUGCUUUUCCUCCUUUUCCCCCUUGAUGUUCAAACAUAACAUCAUUGCAGGUUUGAUGCUAGGUUUACCCAUAAGUUUACAUUACACUUUUAAAAUUUUAAAUUUUUUGUUAAUUAUUGCCUAAUGUUUGAUGCUAGGUUCUUCUUUGAAGCCAAUGUACCAGUGUCUUUUGUUAAUUAUGACGAUGGAAAACCCGCAAAAUACUGGCUGAGAAUAUUGCACAGCUAAACUCCGCCAUAGACGAUGUUUCUGCUCCGCUGCAUGCAGACGAUGCCCCAAACGGAGCUGCAGUGGCUUCAGAUGAAAUUGAAGCUUCCAUAUAAUAGAAUGCUUGCAGAGUUUUUGUAUAAUUUGGUAUGUGUUUAGCGGUGGAAAUAAUGUUUAGUGUAAGAUCAUUGACAAGAUAUGCAUCGAAUGAAACCACUAUUUUUAGUGUAAGAUCGUUGAAGUGCUCCCUUACUCCAGCGUUCAGCGACAAAUUCUGUCUAUGAUGGAGAAUCCAACUGCCCUGAGCAUGAAAAGCAAGAGCAAGUGGCAGAUGGCAGAGUAGACGACUUGAAGAGAGAGAUGAUGACAUUAACCUGGUUGUGUUUGUUUAAUUUAUUGUUUACUUGAAGAGAGAUAUUACACGAGUUUAAAGGUA